rnacentral:rRNA from 1 species
GCGGAAGGAUCAUUAAAGAAAUAAACCUGGCUUGAAUUGUAGCUGACUCUCUCCAGAGUAUGUGCACAUUCUUGUCGUCUUUAUAUCUCCACCUGUGCACCUUUUGUAGAUCAAUGGAUGCGAACUUUCUGAGGCUUGAGCAAAGCCUUCAGGUUAUAUGAGGAUCGACGGAGUCGCAAAGAUACCGGCUUUCCUUGGAAGCAUCUUCAUUGUCUAUGUCUUUUUUCAUAUACUCCAAUGAAUGUAAUAGAAUGAAUUUAAAUGGGUCUUUGUUACCUAUAAUAAAGUUUAUACAACUUUCAGCAACGGAUCUCUUGGCUCUCGCAUCGAUGACGAACGCAGCGAAAUGCGAUAAGUAAUGUGAAUUGCAGAAUUCAGUGAAUCAUCGAAUCUUUGAACGCAACUUGCGCUCCUUGGUAUUCCGAGGAGCAUGCCUGUUUGAGUGUCAUUAAAUUCUCAACCUUUAUCAGCUUUUAUUGCUGUUUAUAGGCUUGGAUGUGGAGGUUUUUGCAGGCCUUUUAAAAGGUCAGCUCCUCUGAAAUACAUUAGUGGUGUCCCCUUCAUGGUUAAAUGACUAUUGGUGUGAUAAACUAUCUACGCUUAUGGGCAACCGUGUUCACUUGAAUGUGGAAAGGGAUUUGGCUGCUUCUAACGGUCUGAAAGGACAAUAAUAAUAAAUGACUAUUUGACCUCAAA